AGGGAAUCUUCCGCAAUGGACGAAAGUCUGACGGAGCAACGCCGCGUGAGUGAUGAAGGUUCUCGGAUCGUAAAGCUCUGUUGCCAGGGACGAAUAAGCCAGAGAGUAACUGCUCUGGUGAUGACGGUACCUGAGAAGAAAGCCCCGGCUAACUACGUGCCAGCAGCCGCGGUAAUACGUAGGGGGCAAGCGUUGUCCGGAAUUAUUGGGCGUAAAGCGCGCGCAGGCGGCUGUUUAAGUUUGGUGUUUAAGCCCAGGGCUCAACCCUGGUACGCACUGAAAACUGGGCAGCUUGAGUACAGAAGAGGAGAGUGGAAUUCCAUGUGUAGCGGUGAAAUGCGUAGAGAUAUGGAGGAACACCAGUGGCGAAGGCGACUCUCUGGUCUGAAACUGACGCUGAGGCGCGAAAGCGUGGGGAGCAAAC
rnacentral:rRNA from 1 species